rnacentral:lncRNA from 1 species
AAGGAAACAAUUAGUGAUAGGCCAACCAACAGACACCCACCUCGGUCUUCUUCUUCUUCUUCCUCCUUCGUAGGUCAGAUCUCUAUCUUUUUCUCUCUCUCUUUCUCUACAGCUUUGUCUGUUCUUCUGUUUUUCUUUCUCUCUGUAGAGCUUUUGUACGUGUAUGAACAGUCAGCCAACAACAACAACUGCUACCCGCGGAGUUGAGCAGCACCCGCUUUAAAUCCACUCAACCAUCAUUCGUCUCUUGGCAGAAAAAGGUCAAGACUUUACCCAACUUAUUACUCUAUUAGCUUUCGUUGCCUUCCUAUUUUGUUUUCUUUUCAAAUAUGUGAAGUUCAAUUCAGAUAAUUUAAUUGCUUUAAAUGAUCAGAUUUGCUGUAUGAAUUUGAUAAAUCAACCAUCCUAACAAAAAUCCUUUUUAAAGUUAACUUGAUGAAAAAAGCUUAAUUUACAAAAAUUUAUAUCUAUAAAAUUGAUUGAAAGAUAGUCAACGAACUUUUUUGAAUGUAACUUAAAGAUAUAAUGUGAAAUAAUCAAAUAAAAAUAAGUGUAGUAGAGAUAAAACGAGGAUAAAGUUUAUACAUUUACUAUAAUAAUUGAAGUUGGUAUUUAUACAAAACAGAACAAUAGUGACAAUACUUUCGUACACACCACAUCAAAUGUUAAGUUGACCGAUCUCUUCUUAGUGCACUUUUGUUCAAUAUUUUGCUUUUUCUUAGCGUUUGCUAGCUCUUUAAGAGUCGAAAUUCAUCAACUUACCCUAUGUAUUACUCAAACUUCCUUCUGGAUGCACUUUUUUCGGUACCUAGCUUUUCAAAACCGAAACCCAUCAAUAAAAUUCAGAUAUUACUAUUUGUUUUUCUAAUGUUGUUUUAUCUUAUGAUGUGUAUAAAAAAUAUCUUAUAUAUUCAUAUUUUGAGUGGCAAAAUGGAAAUGUGGUGAUUCUCUUUGCAGAUAAAACAAGGAGAGUAGAGAAUAAAUCUAGCAAAAAAAUAUAAAAGAAGAAUAGGAAUAUUCUUGAUUUUAAUAAUUCAGAGAAACUAGCUAGGUAGGAAUAUUAAAAUGGUGGGAGGUGGCCUCCAUUCACGAAUGGGACACCAACAACUAAAUUCUUUGUUCAUGUGUAAAGAGAAAAAACAAAUUGAUUUGAUAAUAUUUGUUAGGUUUGGUUGUUGUGUGAUAAGAUUUAAGGAGAGCUAAUUGGAUUUAGGGUUUGGAUAUUGGAAUUAGCUCAUCUUAGAGGUAUAUCCCUAAUUUCUAUAGUUUGUUGGACCAUGGGCGUAGUGAGGAUUGUAUAUAUUUAACUAUCGGUCAAAGUAUAUAAAGAUGGUUAGUUUGGUGAGAUUGACAAUUAGUAUUCACAUAUAGCUUGUAAGGAAUAAUUUUGUGUCAAUUUCUUCGAGUCUUUGAUUAUUCUUCAUGGGUUUUGGGUUAUAUCCGAUGAUUUACCCCGUAAAUAUGUAUUUGGUAGGCCUAUAGGAGGAAGCACACAAGGCCAAGGCGGAGGUCACAUAGCAUAUGAGGGAAACUGUAAAGGAGUUAAUGAUGUAGCGGCAUCAGAAUAAAUCGGCUCACAUUCACGAUUAGAUGUAUAGUAUGUAACAUAAGGGGAGCUUAUAAUGUGUAAUAACACCCAUCGGCGUGCAAUAGAAUAUCACUCUCACUUUCUAUCAUGGAUAGAAAACAAAUUAUUUGCUACUUUCUUCAUCAAUGUAUCUUUCUCAAAGUAUUAUUACGAAUCUUAUCGAACCAUCGAGACAA